UAAAAAAUGCAAUGCCUGAUCUUGAGUGAUAUACGGAGACUAAAUACAUAGAUGUGAGCCUCAAUCAAGCAGUGUGACAUACAUAAGCAACACCAGAUCCUGAUAUGAAGAACUUAUCUCACAGACUACAGCAGAUACUGCAGACAAACAGGAGUCAUAUGCUGUUUCUGACUUGCUACUGAAAACCUACUUCCAGCAAGUCCUGUGAAGUCCUCUCUUCUCAAGAUUCCCCCACCUCUAACUGACCUGCACCCUGCGGUGGGUCUGGCAGCUUCUCCUAAUUCAAGCCUGUAUCCAGAAAAGUUGUGGUCCUUGCCAUGACCUGUUCCUUGACAUGUUUCU
rnacentral:lncRNA from 1 species